GACGGGUGAGUAACACGUGGGUAACCUGCCCUCAUUUGGGGGAUAACAUUUGGAAACAGAUGCUAAUACCGCAUAGAUCCAAGAACCGCAUGGUUCUUGGCUGAAAGAUGGCGUAAGCUAUCGCUUUUGGAUGGACCCGCGGCGUAUUAGCUAGUUGGUGAGGUAACGGCUCACCAAGGCGAUGAUACGUAGCCGAACUGAGAGGUUGAUCGGCCACAUUGGGACUGAGACACGGCCCAAACUCCUACGGGAGGCAGCAGUAGGGAAUCUUCCACAAUGGACGCAAGUCUGAUGGAGCAACGCCGCGUGAGUGAAGAAGGCUUUCGGGUCGUAAAACUCUGUUGUUGGAGAAGAAUGGUCGGCAGAGUAACUGUUGUCGGCGUGACGGUAUCCAACCAGAAAGCCACGGCUAACUACGUGCCAGCAGCCGCGGUAAUACGUAGGUGGCAAGCGUUAUCCGGAUUUAUUGGGCGUAAAGCGAGCGCAGGCGGUUUUUUAAGUCUGAUGUGAAAGCCCUCGGCUUAACCGAGGAAGCGCAUCGGAAACUGGGAAACUUGAGUGCAGAAGAGGACAGUGGAACUCCAUGUGUAGCGGUGAAAUGCGUAGAUAUAUGGAAGAACACCAGUGGCGAAGGCGGCUGUCUGGUCUGUAACUGACGCUGAGGCUCGAAAGCAUGGGUAGCGAACAGGAUUAGAUACCCUGGUAG
rnacentral:rRNA from 1 species